GCCGGUGUAGCUCAGCUGGCUAGAGCAGCUGAUUUGUAAUCAGCAGGUCGUGGGUUCGAGUCCCNGCUAGAGCAGCUGAUUUGUAAUCAGCAGGUCGUGGGUUCGAGUCCCUCCAUCGGCU
rnacentral:tRNA from 1 species